UUGAACGCUGGCGGCAUGCUUUACACAUGCAAGUCGAACGGUAACAGGUCUUCGGAUGCUGACGAGUGGCGAACGGGUGAGUAAUGCAUCGGAACGUGCCCAGUCGUGGGGGAUAACGCAGCGAAAGCUGUGCUAAUACCGCAUACGAUCUAUGGAUGAAAGCGGGGGAUCGCAAGACCUCGCGCGAUUGGAGCGGCCGAUGUCAGAUUAGCUAGUUGGUGGGGUAAAGGCCCACCAAGGCGACGAUCUGUAGCUGGUCUGAGAGGACGACCAGCCACACUGGGACUGAGACACGGCCCAGACUCCUACGGGAGGCAGCAGUGGGGAAUUUUGGACAAUGGGGGAAACCCUGAUCCAGCAAUGCCGCGUGAGUGAAGAAGGCCUUCGGGUUGUAAAGCUCUUUUGUCAGGGAAGAAACACCGGCUCUAACACAGUCCGGGAAUGACGGUACCUGAAGAAUAAGCACCGGCUAACUACGUG
rnacentral:rRNA from 1 species